UGGAAGAGGUGUGGCCCCGAACGUUCAGUUAGAUUCUUGAUGCUUGGCGUGAAAUAAAGCUUUGCUUGACCUUCGCUUUGUACGAGUCUCGCUCCUUUAAUCACGGACCCACUAUUGGGGCAUAACAGUUAAUAAACUUUUGCUUCAGUGGUGCCUGG